AACGAACGCUGGCGGCAGGCCUAACACAUGCAAGUCGAGCGCACACUCCGGGGUGAGCGGCGGACGGGUGAGUAACGCGUGGGGACUAGCCCUUCUCUGAGGAGUCCUCUCGGGAAACUGAGAGUCAUACAGCAUACGCCCAUAGGGGGAAAGAUGUAUCGGAGAAGGAUCGGCGCGCGUUGGAUUAGGUAGUUGGUGGGGUAAUGGCCCACCAAGCCGUCGAUCCAUAGCUGGUUGGAGAGGAUGAUCAGCCACGCUGGGACUGAGACACGGCCCAGACUCCGACGGAAGGCAGGAGUGGGGAAUCUUAGACAAGGGGGGCAACCCUGAUCUAGCCGCGCCGCGUGAGUGAUGAAGGCCUUAGGGUUGUGAAGCUCUUUCAGCUGAGAAGAUAAUGACGGUACCAGCAGAAGAAGCCCCGGCUAACUCCGUG
rnacentral:rRNA from 1 species